rnacentral:lncRNA from 1 species
CGGCCGGGUCCCCUUCUCCUGGGAGCCUGGGCGUGGUCUCCCGUGUCCGGAGCUGCGUCCUUCCUUGCGCUCCACGAAGGUGCCUAAAGCGGCGCCGCGCGUUCAUGAAGAAGUUGCUGACGGUGUUGAGCUCCAAGCCGAGCUGCUGCGAGAUGGUGACCUGCAUCUCCUUGGACGGCCGCUUGUUCUCCUUGAAGAUGGCGAUCAGCGUGCGUCGCUGCAGGCUGAGACCACCCAGACUUGGCCUCCCUCGAGCACCCAGUGGACCCUCUGGAGCGCAGAACAUCUAAGAAAGAAGACUUUGGAGGAGGAGGGGAGAGUGCAGGGACCACCUCUUCCUCUCCCAGAUGAGCAGACUGGGACUGUGGUGCUGAAGAGGCUGUCCUGCCCUUGUCUCCAUCCCGGAGUUCCAGCUACUCUGUGACCCCCAGAAGUGGCCGGUGGUGCAGGUAGUACUAGUGGGUCUCUGCUCCCAGUCUCUUCUCUGUGCCAGCCGUCGUGGCCUACUGGAAUGGCACAGAGAGCUUUUCUUUUCGUUGCAGAACAGCCUGGAACAUGACAUGCUAGAUCAAUGUCCAUACACGUCCACAGAAAUAAAUGAAUGUUCCUUCUGCCAUGACUCAUGUCUCGGGGACAACAGCAAAAAGAGGCUCUGCUGCCCCCCUUCCCGGCGUUCAAUCUAAUUACAGCUCCUCACAGCCCAGAUCGAUCCAGUCGGAGCUGUUUACCGCGAGCAGCUUUGUCAUUGCUCCCAUCCCCCACAGCCGCUGACAGAGGAUGCCCACUCCAUGCAGCCAGCCCUGCACCUCCUCCAGGACCCUGGGGACUGAGGCCCUGAUUCCAGGAGCAAUCACCCCCGAGAGGCUCUGAUCUGAGGACUCCAGGUUCCUGGUUUAUCAAGUGGACGCAGUGACCCAGAGCCCUGUGUCCCCACCGGGCCGCAGUCCCGAGAGUCACGAAGGAAUGAACGCCGAAGCACGGACCUGCAACCGACUCAUCCAUUCACCAUUCAGGGAGCAGCUGCUGCGUGAGGCCAGAGAGAGGCAGCUCCAGGAGCUGGCCUCCACUCACAGUCACAGGACAGCGUGAAGCGGCGGCUGCCUGGGACUCUGUUCCCCAAUGAGGAGGCCAGCUCCGCUCUGAGUCCAGGAAAGGGGGAGAGAGGACGCCUUUGGGUGGGUACUGGAGGGGAGGCGCGGGCUCCACUGGGCUCUCUGAGGCCUUCGAGUGGAUACACUGCUGGCUGGGAGGGAGGAUGGACCAGAAGACCAGGCCCAGGCUUCGGGACAGCUGGAGGGAAGGUCCCUGAAUCCCAGUGGACGCCAGCAGUGCUGGGGGCGGCACGGCAGGAGAGACACAAGCCAGGGUGGCACCAGGACGGGAGGGAUGUGGAGGCUCCUGGGGGGUCCCCAAGGUCCAGGGAGGAGAUCAAAGAGCAACUAGAGGAGAUGGAGACCAGCUGGGCAAUGCCCAAGGGAGAAGAAGACGCCCCAGGAUGCAGCAAUGGGCGAUUCAAGUGACCAUCCCAUGUCCCUCUGUGCCCGACAGUCUGUACAGUGCCCCAAACCACCAAGCCACGUGAGUCUACCCCGCUGUGUGCCCGUCCUCCCUGUGUCCUGGAGCUGGAGAUCCCCUCCCUCAGCCACCUCUGGCUUCAGGGAGCAGACAAUUCAAUAUGGAGCCCGGUCUCCGGCUGGGAUGAUGACCGGUUUCCUUGGCGACGCGUCCUGUCCCCGCCACCAGCUGCCCUGCCCCAGAUGUGGGUUGUACUGAUGCCCCCCACCCCCAUGCUGGUGUCUUGUCCCC